rnacentral:rRNA from 1 species
GACGAACGCUGGCGGCGUGCUUAACACAUGCAAGUCGAACGGCAAGGCCCUGCUUUCGUGGGGUGCUCGAGUGGCGAACGGGUGAGUAACACGUGAGUAACCUGCUCUAGACUUUGGGAUAACUUAAGGAAACUGGGGCUAAUAUCGGAUAGGAGCUCCUGCAGCAUGGUGGGGGUUGGAAAGUUUCGGCGGUUGGGGAUGGACUCGCGGCUUAUCAGCUUGUUGGUGGGGUAGUGGCUUACCAAGGCUUGGACGGGUAGCCGGCCUGGGAGGGUGACCGGCCACAUUAGGACUGAGAUACGGCCCAGACUCCUACGGGAGGCAGCAGUGGGGAAUAUUGCACAAUGGGCGGAAGCCUGAUGCAGCGACGCCGCGUGCGGGAUGACGGCCUUCGGGUUGUAAACCGCUUUCGCCUGUGACGAAGCGUGAGUGACGGUAAUGGGUAAAGAAGCACCGGCUAACUACGUG